rnacentral:tRNA from 1 species
GGGGAUAUAGCUCAGUUGGGAGAGCGCUACACUGGCAGUGUAGAGGUCACCGGUUCGAGCCCGGUUAUCUCCA